GACGAACGCUGGCGGCGUGCCUAACACAUGCAAGUCAACUUGACUGAAGGAGCAAUCUGACAGUAGAGUGGCGCAAGGGUGCGUAACGCGUAAGUAACUUGCCCCAAGGUAAGGAAUAACGUCGAGAAAUCGGCGCUAAUACCUCAUAAUGCAGCGGAUCCGCAUGGAUAUGUUGUUAAAGGUUUACCGCCUUGGGAUAGGCUUGCGUCUGAUUAGCUAGUUGGUGUGGUAACGGCACACCAAGGCUACGAUCAGUAACUGGUCUGAGAGGAUGAUCAGUCACACUGGAACUGAGACACGGUCCAGACUCCUACGGGAGGCAGCAGUGAGGAAUAUUGGGCAAUGCUCGAAAGAGUGACCCAGCAACGCCGCGUGGAGGAUGAAGGUAUUCUAUAUCGUAAACUCCUGUGAGAGCAGACGAAGACAGAUUAUUAAUCUGGAUGACUGUAUGCUCAG
rnacentral:rRNA from 1 species